rnacentral:rRNA from 1 species
GACGUAGGGGGCGAGCGUUGUCCGGAUUUAUUGGGCGUAAAGCGCGCGUAGGCGGCUCGUUAAGUCGGUUGUGAAAACCCGGGGCUCAACCCCGGGCCUGCAUCCGAUACUGGCGGGCUGGAGGCAGAUAGGGGAGAGUGGAAUUCCUGGUGUAGCGGUGGAAUGCGCAGAUAUCAGGAGGAACACCGGUGGCGAAGGCGGCUCUCUGGAUCUGUCCUGACGCUCAGGCGCGAAAGCUAGGGGAGCAAACAGG